CCUACGGGUGGCAGCAGUGGGGGAUAUUGCACAAUGGGGGGAACCCUGAUGCAGCGACGCCGCGUGUGGGAAGACGGUCCUCUGGAUUGUAAACCACUGUCCCCAGGGACGAAAAUGACGGUACCUGGGGAGGAAGCUCCGGCUAACUACGUGCCAGCAGCCGCGGUAAUACGGAGGAUGCGAGCGUUAUCCGGAUUUAUUGGGUUUAAAGGGUGCGUAGGCGGUCCGGAAAGUCAGCGGUAAAAGCCCGGGGCUCAACCCCGGCGAGCCGUUGAAACUGUCGGACUAGAGACGGCGAGAAGUACGCGGAAUGCGCGGUGUAGCGGUGAAAUGCAUAGAUAUCGCGCAGAACUCCGAUUGCGAAGGCAGCGUACCGGCGCCGGACUGACGCUGAGGCACGAAAGCGUGGGUAUCGAACAGGAUUAGAUACCCUGGUAGUC
rnacentral:rRNA from 1 species